UGGGGGAUAUUGCACAAUGGGCGAAAGCCUGAUGCAGCGACGCCGCGUGGGGGAUGAAGGCCUUCGGGUUGUAAGCUUCUUUUGCUCUGAACAAGGUGCACCGUGGGGUGUGUUGAGUGUAGGGGUUGAUUAGCGCCGGCUAACUACGUGCCAGCAGCCGCGGUAAUACGUAGGGCGCGAGCGUUGUCCGGAAUUAUUGGGCGUAAAGGGCUUGUAGGUGGCUGGUUGCGUCUGUCGUGAAAGCUCAUGGCUUAACUGUGGGUUUGCGGUGGGUACGGGCUGGCUUGAGUGCAGUAGGGGAGGCUGGAAUUCCUGGUGUAGCGGUGGAAUGCGCAGAUAUCAGGAGGAAUACCGGUGGCGAAGGCGGGUCUCUGGGCUGUUACUGACACUGAGGAGCGAAAGCAUGGGGAGCGAACAGG
rnacentral:rRNA from 1 species